GCGCGAGUGGCGGAAUUGGUAGACGCGCACGGUUCAGGUCCGUGUCCCAGUGAUGGGGUAGGGGUUCAACUCCCCUUUCGCGCAC
rnacentral:tRNA from 3 species